rnacentral:ncRNA from 1 species
AACUCUCUCUAAGGUACUUAGCAAAAUAACCUUGUAACUUGGGGAGAAGGGGUGCCUCCUCAAAAAGGGGUUCGCAAUGGCAAGGCCCAGGUGACUUUACCAAAAACUUAGGUCUCCGCAGAUUUGUAAGACCAUGUACAAGGUUGAUGCCUCCCCAAUGCCAGAAGGUCAGGGAAGUUGGUGAUUGAUGAUGGGGGAGCCGGCAACCGAAACCCCGGUUAAUGGCUACCAUAACUAUAAUGGUCUUAAGUUAGUGAAAUUCCUUGUCCUGUAAGUUUCCACCAGAAUACCUACUCAGCAUGCUGCCAAAGCAAAAGG